GAGUGUCUCUUUGGUAUAAUCGAUUCAUACUAGAUAGAUUUAUCAUCGGUGGUGUUCUGAUGUGAUUUCUUUAUUUAAAUAUUCUUCAAUUUUAAUAAUUUUAAGAUUGUUUCCGGGAUGCUACAAAGUAGACAACUUCAGUCACUUUGAUGGUUUUUUAGUGUAUUCGAAAUUCAAGGUCAAAAAGAUACUCAAAGUUGGUUUAUCGCUAUGAGGGAAGAUGCUCAAAGUUGGUGUAUCGCUAUGAAGGAUUUGGUCUAUAUGAUAGGCUUCUCAUACUCUAAAGUGCUCACUGUGAAGAAUUACUUAUUAGCAUUCACUUUAGUGUAUCACUUACCAGGCUUCUCAUACUCCAAAGUGCUCACUAUGUUCUAAAUAUUUGUGUAAGAUGAAGAAUUACUUAUUAGCAUUCACUUUAGUGUAUCACUUACUCAUGCUUAUAUUUAUGCAUGUACUUAUUAAGGAUUAGUGGAUUGUAAUAUUUCAAUAGAUAAUGGCUAAAAAAUUUUCGUUUUUAGUAACGAGAUCAUUUUUUAGUAACUAGGCUAGAUGGCCAUUUAGUAAACGGUUCAAAAUUUUCGUUUUUUAGUAAACGUGUCAAACAUGUCAUUUUUUCGUGUAA